AAUAGAUACCCCGGUAGUCCACGCCGUAAACGAUGAGUGCUAAGUGUUGGAGGGUUUCCGCCCUUCAGUGCUGCAGCUAACGCAUUAAGCACUCCGCCUGGGGAGUACGGUCGCAAGACUGAAACUCAAAGGAAUUGACGGGGGCCCGCACAAGCGGUGGAGCAUGUGGUUUAAUUCGAAGCAACGCGAAGAACCUUACCAGGUCUUGACAUCUCCUGACCGCCCUGGAGACAGGGUCUUCCCUUCGGGGACAGGAUGACAGGUGGUGCAUGGUUGUCGUCAGCUCGUGUCGUGAGAUGUUGGGUUAAGUCCCGCAACGAGCGCAACCCUUGGUUCUAGUUGCCAGCAUUCAGUUGGGCACUCUAGAGCGACUGCCGGCGACAAGUCGGAGGAAGGUGGGGAUGACGUCAAAUCAUCAUGCCCCUUAUGACCUGGGCUACACACGUGCUACAAUGGAUGGUACAAAGGGCAGCGAAGCGGCGACGCAUAAGCGAAUCCCAGAAAACCAUUCUCAGUUCGGAUUGCG
rnacentral:rRNA from 1 species